UUUUUCCUACGGGACGCAGCAGUGAGGAAUAUUGGUCAAUGGGCGGGAGCCUGAACCAGCCAAGUCGCGUGAGGGAAGAAGGUACUGAGUAUUGUAAACCUCUUUUGCCAGGGGACAAAGGCGGCCACGGGUGGCCGUAAGAGGGUACCUGGAGAAAAAGCAUCGGCUAACUCCGUGCCAGCAGCCGCGGUAAUACGGAGGAUGCGAGCGUUAUCCGGAUUUAUUGGGUUUAAAGGGUGCGUAGGCGGGCUUUUAAGUCAGCGGUAAAAAUUCGGGGCUCAACCCCGUCCGGCCGUUGAAACUGG
rnacentral:rRNA from 1 species